rnacentral:rRNA from 1 species
GUGGGGAAUUUUGGACAAUGGGGGCAACCCUGAUCCAGCAAUGCCGCGUGCAGGAAGAAGGCCUUCGGGUUGUAAACUGCUUUUGUACGGAACGAAACGGUCCUGGUUAAUACCUGGGGCUAAUGACGGUACCGUAAGAAUAAGCACCGGCUAACUACGUGCCAGCAGCCGCGGUAAUACGUAGGGUGCAAGCGUUAAUCGGAAUUACUGGGCGUAAAGCGUGCGCCAGCGGUUUUGUAAGACAGGCGUGAAAUCCCCGGGCGCAACCUGGAAAUGGCGCUUGUGACUGCAAGGCUGGAGUGCGGCAGAGGGGGAUGGAAUUCCGCGUGUAGCAGUGAAAUGCGUAGAUAUGCGGAGGAACACCGAUGGCGAAGGCAAUCCCCUGGGCCUGCACUGACGCUCAUGCACGAAAGCGUGGGGAGCAAACAGGAUUAGAUACCCUGGUGUCC